GACGAACGCUGGCGGCGUGCUUAACACAUGCAAGUCGAACGGAAAGGCCCUGCUUUUGUGGGGUGCUCGAGUGGCGAACGGGUGAGUAACACGUGAGUAACCUGCCCUUGACUUUGGGAUAACUUCAGGAAACUGGGGCGAAUACCGGAUAGGAGCUCCUGCUGCAUGGUGGGGGUUGGAAAGUUUCGGCGGUUGGGGAUGUACUCGCGGCUUAUCAGCUGGUUGGUGGGGUAGUGGCUUACCAAGGCUUUGAAGGGUAGCCGGCCUGAGAGGGUGACCGGCCACAUUGCGACUGAGAUACGGCCCAGACUCCUACGGGAGGCAGAAGUGGGGAAUAUUGCACAAUGGGCGGAAGCCUGAUGCAGCAACGCCGCGUGCGGGAUGACGGCCUUCGGGUUGUAAACCGCUUUCGCCUGUGACGAAGCGUGAGUGACGGUAAUGGGUAAAGAAGCACCGGCUAACUACGUG
rnacentral:rRNA from 1 species